rnacentral:lncRNA from 1 species
GGGACCGCGCUCAGUGUUCUCGCCCGCGUGAUAAUUUACCGAUGGGAGUGUAUAAUUAUAAAAUAUACUUAACUGCAUUUUGAUUUAUUUUUCGCAUGGGACUGGCUAAUUUACGCCGCCACUCGUCUAGUUUGAUUUAGAACUUGGUUCCGAAAAGUUGACAUGCCGAGACUACCGGUGGUGAGAGUGUGAUAUAGUGUGUGAGAAUAUUGAAAUCGUGGCCAGAACUCGGAAGAAGAUAGUUUUGGGUGCCAAAAAAAACGGUCAAUGAAAAGCGGUCACAGCAAGCCUAUCGAAGCAGCGAUGAAAGUUGAUGGCUUGAAACAGUACAGACAAACAGACAUAACAUGCGGUUCAGUUAAUAUAUUUUGAUUACCAUGAGUGCAUUUUAGUUGGCGGAACAAGUGGAUCCUGUGAGAAUGUCUAGUUUCGGGGCGCGGAAGAUGGGAGAUAAAAAAAUGUGCGUGAAGUAAAGAUGAUAAUAUUGUAAUCUGGCGUGGCGUGGCUACUUUCGAAACAAAACACAAAGUUUCCGAAUGAAUUCUGAAGUGCGCAUUACAAUACAACUGCUGUAAAAAA